GUGCUCAUUUUGGCAGCACAUAUACUAAACUUGAAAUGAUACAGAGAAUAUUAGUAUGGCCUUUGCACAAGGAUGACAAGCAAAUUCGUGAAGUACUCCAUAUUUUA